GGCGGACGGGUGAGUAAUGCUUAGGAAUCUGCCUAUUAGUGGGGGACAACAUUCCGAAAGGAAUGCUAAUACCGCAUACGCCCUACGGGGGAAAGCAGGGGAUCUUCGGACCUUGCGCUAAUAGAUGAGCCUAAGUCAGAUUAGCUAGUUGGUGGGGUAAAGGCCUACCAAGGCGACGAUCUGUAGCGGGUCUGAGAGGAUGAUCCGCCACACUGGGACUGAGACACGGCCCAGACUCCUACGGGAGGCAGCAGUGGGGAAUAUUGGACAAUGGGCGCAAGCCUGAUCCAGCCAUGCCGCGUGUGUGAAGAAGGCCUUUUGGUUGUAAAGCACUUUAAGCGAGGAGGAGGCUACCGAGAUUAAUACUCUUGGAUAGUGGACGUUACUCGCAGAAUAAGCACCGGCUAACUCUGUGCCAGCAGCCGCGGUAAUACAGAGGGUGCGAGCGUUAAUCGGAUUUACUGGGCGUAAAGCGUGCGUAGGCGGCUUUUUAAGUCGGAUGUGAAAUCCCUGAGCUUAACUUAGGAAUUGCAUUCGAUACUGGGAAGCUAGAGUAUGGGAGAGGAUGGUAGAAUUCCAGGUGUAGCGGUGAAAUGCGUAGAGAUCUGGAGGAAUACCGAUGGCGAAGGCAGCCAUCUGGCCUAAUACUGACGCUGAGGUACGAAAGCAUGGGGAGCAAACAGGAUUAGAUACCCUGGUAGUCCAUGCCGUAAACGAUGUCUACUAGCCGUUGGGGCCUUUGAGGCUUUAGUGGCGCAGCUAACGCGAUAAGUAGACCGCC
rnacentral:rRNA from 1 species